CAGCAAAGCAGCAGGAAGCUGGACUCCUCAGAAACCUGUUGCAUGCCGUGAAUCCAGACACCCCCCAAGAAACUGGGGACAGGGGAGGGCCAGAAGAGGCCACCCUGAGUUGUAGGAGAGCUGAGAUAUCCUGGGGGAGUGGACAAGCGAUCCCUCCCCAGGCCUUUUUUCUUCUCCAGAGAAAGGAUUUUCUAAUGUCGUCUUAGCUGUGGAGCUCCGCGGGCAGGAGGGAGGCACGAGGAUUUACGUCUGACUGCAUGAACAGGGACUAAUUGAUCUCAACACAGCUUCAGUUUGAAUGGAAAAGAAGAGCAUCGGGAGACGUCAGACCAGCUCAUCAAGAUGGAGGCAGCACCAGAGAGAGAGAGACUUUAUUUGUUUUUGGAAAGGAGGGUGAAACCCCAAAAGAGAAAAAUUAAUUUGUAUGGUGAGAGAGAGGAGCAGCUGCUGUAUAGAUUAUUCUCUGCACCAUCUCCAGAUCAUCAAUGUAACUUCUCAGAAGGGUUUGAGCAUCCAAGCGUUCUUGAGCAUAAAUGUCACUGAAGCGUUCCACAAGGCGAGCAUGACGGGAAGCAUUGACACUUCUCAUGAGAAACGUAACAUGCAGUCAAAGAAUACUGUAGCUGUUCUUGUCAUGAAAAUUCUUGGGGAGCUACUUUUUUGUCAUUUACUGUUACACUUUAAAGCACCAGACAUUUACAGCAUCAUCACAGGAACAUAGACUCUACACUGAGUCAGAUCUUUGGUCAUUUAGUCCAGUAUUAUCAGUCUCAAAAGGAACGGAACAUGAGUCUGGAAAUAUUGCAAAAUUACAUUGUAAAAGAGCUGGUUUUAGUGGCCUCUUAAAUCAGAUGGAGGGAGAGU